rnacentral:rRNA from 1 species
UGGGAGCUUGCUCCCUGAUGUUAGCGGCGGACGGGUGAGUAACACGUGGGUAACCUGCCUGUAAGACUGGGAUAACUCCGGGAAACCGGGGCUAAUACCGGAUGGUUGUUUGAACCGCAUGGUUCAGACAUAAAAGGUGGCUUCGGCUACCACUUACAGAUGGACCCGCGGCGCAUUAGCUAGUUGGUGAGGUAACGGCUCACCAAGGCGACGAUGCGUAGCCGACCUGAGAGGGUGAUCGGCCACACUGGGACUGAGACACGGCCCAGACUCCUACGGGAGGCAGCAGUAGGGAAUCUUCCGCAAUGGACGAAAGUCUGACGGAGCAACGCCGCGUGAGUGAUGAAGGUUUUCGGAUCGUAAAGCUCUGUUGUUAGGGAAGAACAAGUGCCGUUCAAAUAGGGCGGCACCUUGACGGUACCUAACCAGAAAGCCACGGCUAACUACGUGC